rnacentral:rRNA from 1 species
CCUACGGGUGGCAGCAGUGAGGAAUAUUGGUCAAUGGGCGCGAGCCUGAACCAGCCAAGUAGCGUGAAGGAUGACUGCCCUACUGGUUGUAAACUUCUUUUAUAAAGGGAUAAAGUGAGGCACGUGUGCCUUUUUGUAUGUACUUUAUGAAUAAGGCUCGGCUAACUCCGUUCCAGCAGACGCGGUAAUACGGAGGAUCCGAGCGUUAUCCGGAUUUAGUGGGUUUAAAGGGAGCGUAGAUGGGUUGUUAAGUCAGUUGUGAAAGUUUGCGGCUCAACCGUAAAAUUGCAAUUGAUACUGGCAGUCUUGAGUACAGUUGAGGUAGGCGGAAUGCGUGGUGUAGCGGUGAAAUGCUUAGAUAUCACGAAGAACUCCGAUUGCGAAGGCAGCUUACUAAACUGCCACUGACAUUGAUGCUCGAAAGUGUGGGUAUCAAACAGGAUUAGAUACCCCAGUAGUC